rnacentral:rRNA from 1 species
CAUACUAAACUUUGUAAGGUGCUACCUGCUCAGUGGCCUAAAACUAAAAGGAUUUAUUUCCUUAAAUUAGGUUAAACAGCCGCCUUAAUCCUAAAGGGCGCGAAGUAAGCAUAAUCGGAUACCGUUUAAUUGGCGGAGAGUUGAAUGGAUGAACGAGCGCAAAUCUGUCUUAACUUAAAGAAAUAUGAAUUAGAUAUAUUAGUGAAAAAGCUAAUUUAUAUAGCAAGACGAAAAGACCCCGUGAAGCUUAACUACAAUCUAAAAUUAUACUCUUUUAAAUAACUUUAAUUAUAUAUUUAUAUUUAGGUAGGUAGUUUUGGUGGGGUGCCAGCACGUUAAAAAAAACAUGGAGUUAUUAAAUUUAUUUUUUAAUUAAUUAGUGUAAGAUAUAACUUUAUACAAAGAUAAAAAUCUAAAAAAUGACCCGCCUAAAUGAAUUUUAAGACGACAUAAAAUAAAAGCUACUCCGGGGAUAACAGGGUAAUUAAAUUCUGCAGACGUUAUGUGGGGUUUUGUUUACCA